rnacentral:tRNA from 1 species
GCGCCCCUGGCUCAAUUGGAUAGAGCACAUGACUACGGAUCAUGAGGUUACAGGUUCGAGUCCUGUGGGGCGUG